GAUAUUUUCUGCACGACUCGACUGCUUUGACACCUGCAGCUGAAACAAUGACAAAGCAUGAUUUUUCAUUGAGUUGGACUGUACAUCAAUCAAGGGAACAUUCUCUGAGUUCUGUCACAAGAAUACCACAUUAAAUAUUAAGAAAUUAGAAUUUACAGAUAAGACUUGCCUGAUGCAGCGAUGAUGCACAGAAAAACUUUUUCCAUCCUUGUCUCUUCCCUGCCUCUCUCUCUCUGUCUGUCUGUGACUGCAGACGUGCAGCUUUUAAAAUCCCUCGUUAUUCAUUAACUAUCAUCUUCAUCACCUUCGGCUUCAUGCAAAGUCGUUAUGUCAGCGCUUAUUUGCCUAUCGGGGUCCUCAGUCUCUUACUGUUUACGUUGUGCUGAAUAGGUUGUUGAGUCAAGAAUCAGUAGCCUUUGUUCAGAAACAUGUUCUGACACGUGUUGAUGUUGGACAGUUCAAACAUGUCGAGAGGAGCACGACUACAUCAAGUCAGGGAAAUAAGAACAUCUGAGCUGAAUGAGGCAGAGAUGUAAACAUUCAGACACCACACCUGCUGAGCACAGCUCCCAGGUCAGGCCUUCUUCCUCUCUGCUGCCUUCUAAGCCCCUCCCACAGAGGAGGAGCCUGCUGUGCACAAGCAGGCUUGUAACCAUGGUAACAGAGCACGCAGGAUAACCAAGAUGUUGGAUUCAAAAUAACAGAAAAAACAACAUGAGCCCUGGGGGGUAUUCCAGAAAGGAGGUUCAACAAACUCUGAGCCUAACCCUGAACUCUGAGUUGACUUACCCUGUGAAGUGUUCAGUUCCAGAACAGCUGAUCUCAGUUAGCUGUGUGACCAGAGGAGCUGAUCCUGAGUCAGGUCGCUGGGCGACCAGAGGCGGAGGGCAUCACUCACCCCCAGGACCAACAUUAGAGGCAGACACACACUGACUGUCUACAGACAGAACUACAAGUCAUUUAAUCUUCGGACUUUGAAAUUACGUUGUUGGAAAAAAUAAAAUAGGCUAUACCGAUGGUUACUUUUGUAGUUAACUGUGGGAAAUAAAGAAAGCCAAAUGAAAUGUGA